rnacentral:lncRNA from 1 species
UGAGGCUUUGCAAAUGGACAUUUUGGAAGCAGUUGAAAGAUAUUUAUUCCGCCUCUGAGAAUAGAUCCUACCAUUAGGUAAGUAGUUGGUGUCAGCCGUAUGGCCGCCUCUUUAGAUUUUUCGGAAUGCCCAGGACACAGAAGUACCACAAGGGAGCCGUAUAUAAAUAUCUUUAUUUGGAAUUAAAACAUUGACUAUAAUUUAAGUGUUAAAAGCAUCUUAAAAUCCAAGCAAUCUCCACAAGAUAGUCCAGUUGCGAGCUGUCGUAAACAGUGAACCCUUUGCAGAAAACCGGGCCGUGAUCUGUUCAAUGUGGAUAGCUUGGUGUAACGUCGUGGGCAACGCCCCCCUCAAGCCGACGGGAUUCCCUGGACUCCCCCAGUGACGUCAGUCGCGGCCUCCACAUACAACACAGUACAACAAGUAAUCAGAACUCUAUUAUUACAAUAUCCAACGUAAUAGAAUCAGGAUGGAAAGUUUUACUUUCCUUUGCGCCGGAUAUCGUGAACGUUGAGUUGUCUACAACGUUGGCUUCUCGUAGUUCCAAUGGUUCAGCAGUGUAGUUUUCGUCGGUUCCGGAAACGGCAAACGGCAGACCUCGGAUAACCAGGGCAAGGGAUCAGCACUCCACAGGCCACGUACACAGUAACCAUGGAAUAUGUAUGAAGAUAAAAGAAAAUCUUACGUCCCUUCGCUCAGGGAUUUAUGAGCGUGGAUCACCCAACAACCGGCGUUCUCCGGUAUGAUGGCGUGCUCUCGUCUGCUUCUACGUUGCAGCUUGUUCGCUUGUUCGUUCGUUGGUUCGUUGUUGACUCGUUCGUCCGUUGACUCGUUCGUCCGUUGACUCGUGGUCCCCGCCGGGCACCCAGUGUGGUUGCGGCUCCCUCCUUUUAUAGUCGUCUCUUGCCCCUCGAUCCCGUUCAUUGGUAGUUCAUCAUUAGUCCAGGUAAUUAGUCCAGGUGGAAGUGAUAAGGUGAUUUGCCAGCUCAUGGGAAGUCUAUGUGGGAAACGGUAGUCCAUGCCACUCACACGGUGCACAAAAGAUCACGCAAUAUGUAGUGAACAUGCAAGAUCACAGCAAACACAUAAAUGCCACCACAAUCAAUAAAUGUCACCGCACGCUAAUCA